rnacentral:lncRNA from 1 species
UUUCUUCUCACUUUUAAACAUUGUUCAUGCAUAUCUAGCACUUGUAAUCAAUCAAAUUCAUUGUAUUAUAACAUAUUCUACCCCAAAAUAACUUUAUACAAGCCAUUCACUGCCUCAAAGCUAUGGUUUUGGGUUCUUAUCCCAUUUUAGACCAAAUAUCAACAAGUCUUUCUUCUCACUUUUAAACAUUCUUCAUGCAUCUCUAGCACUUGUAAUCAAUCAAAUUCAUUGUAUUAUAACAUAUUCUAACACAAAAUAACUUUAUGCAAACCAUUCACUGCCACAAAGCAAUGGUUUUUGGUUAUUAUCCCAUUUGUGACCAAAUAUCAACAAGUCUUUCUUCUCACUUUUAAACAUUCUUCAUGCAUCUCUACCACUUGUAAUCAAUCAAAUUCAUUGUAUUAUAAUAUAUUCUAACCCAAAAUAACUUUAUACAAGCCAUUCACUGCCUCAAAGCAAUGGUUUUGGGUUCUUAUCCCAUUUGUGCCCAAAUAUCAACAAGUCUUUCUUCUCACUUUUAAAC